rnacentral:rRNA from 1 species
UACAGAGGUGGCAAGCGUUGUUCGGAAUUACUGGGCGUAAAGGGCGCGUAGGCGGCCCGUCAAGUCCCGUGUGAAAGCCCCCGGCUCAACCGGGGAACUGCACGGGAAACUAGCAGGCUUGAGUUCGGGAGAGGGAAGCGGAAUUUCGGGUGUAGCGGUGAAAUGCGCAGAUAUCCGAAGGAACACCGGUGGCGAAGGCGG